rnacentral:lncRNA from 1 species
CUAAGGUCUUGAAAUACCGGACUCCCGCGGGGGGCGGGACCAGAGUCAUUCCACCCAUAAUUGUCCCGCCCACAAUUAUUGCUUACCAAACGCACCAACUGGGGACCAGACUUGGGGUUCCUAGGGAUUUGGGGGGAUGGAAAUAGUGCUUUCUGCUUGGACCCUCAGGUUUGAGCUACAUCUACUUAAUCAAGAAGGUUAAAGCUAGAAUUUUCGGCAGAGUAUGAGUGGUUUGUUCCAUCAUCCUGUGAAGACCUACCCCUGAAUCGCUCCGAGAGAUGCAUUGUGGACAGCGCAGCGGGUCUAUGGACUUUCCAGUGCUCUCAGCCACUCUGUGUUGUCUCCUUCCCCCCCUCCCCGGCGAGAAUUUCUCCCAUUUUGCCCCAAGGUCAAGGACCAGCCUGUCCAUCUCCCAGAAGACCAUUCUGGACAAAGAGAAUGAGGCCGAUAUGUGAAGAGAACCAGAGAUAAAAGAUGAAGCCACAUGGUGGUGCAGGCCUGUAAUCCCAGCACUGGGGAGGCUGAGGCAGGAGGAUCACCACAAGUUCGAGGCCAGCCUGGGCUACAUAGUAAACUGUAGCCUGAAUUACACAGCGAGAUCAUCUCCAAAAAAAAAAGAGGAGGAGGAGGAGGAGGAGGAGG